rnacentral:tRNA from 1 species
GAAAUGUAAAGUCAACAUAAAAGCUGCUAACUUUUAUAACAGUGGUUAAAUUCCGUUAACAUUUCU